GUCAGGAUGGCCAAGCGUUCUAAGGCGCCAGGCUCAAGAGAGUUAUCUUGCCUUGUAUGUGUGUUCUGGUCUCUGUAUGGAGGCGUGGGUUCAAAUCCCACUUAUGACA